rnacentral:rRNA from 1 species
AUUGAACGCUGGCGACAUGCUUUACACAUGCAAGUCGGACGAGUGGCGAACGGGUGAGUAACAUAUCGGAACGUACCGAGUAAUGGGGGAUAACUAAUCGAAAGAUUAGCUAAUACCGCAUAUUAUUCGAGCGGCCGAUAUCUGAUUAGCUGGUUGGUGGGGUAAAGGCCUACCAAGGCGACGAUCAGUAGCGGGUCUGAGAGGAUGAUCAGCCACACUGGGACUGAGACACGGCCCAGACUCCUACGGGAGGCAGCAGUGGGGAAUUUUGGGCAAUGGGCGCAAGCCUGAUCCAGCCAUGCCGCGUGUCUGAAGAAGGCCUUCGGGUUGUAAAGGACUUUUGUCAGGGAAGCGUUACCUGCAGAAUAAGCACCGGCUAACUACGUGCCAGCAGCCGCGGUAAUAC